GAUGAACGCUGGCGGCGUGCCUAAUACAUGCAAGUCGAGCGAACAGAUGAGGAGCUUGCUCCUCUGACGUUAGCGGCGGACGGGUGAGUAACACGUGGAUAACCUACCUAUAAGACUGGGAUAACUUCGGGAAACCGGAGCUAAUACCGGAUAAUAUAUUGAACCGCAUGGUUCAAUAGUGAAAGACGGUUUUGCUGUCACUUAUAGAUGGAUCCGCGCCGCAUUAGCUAGUUGGUAAGGUAACGGCUUACCAAGGCAACGAUGCGUAGCCGACCUGAGAGGGUGAUCGGCCACACUGGAACUGAGGCACGGUCCAGACUCCUACGGGAGGCAGCAGUAGGGAAUCUUCCGCAAUGGGCGAAAGCCUGACGGAGCAACGCCGCGUGAGUGAUGAAGGUCUUCGGAUCGUAAAACUCUGUUAUUAGGGAAGAACAAAUGCGUAAGUAACUAUGCACGUCUUGACGGUACCUAAUCAGAAAGCCACGGCUAACUACGUG
rnacentral:rRNA from 1 species